rnacentral:rRNA from 1 species
GACGAACGCUGGCGGCGUGCUUAACGCAUGCAAGUCGAACGGAAAGGCCCUGCUUUUGUGGGGUGCUCGAGUGGCGAACGGGUGAGUAACACGUGAGUAACCUGCCCUUGACUUUGGGAUAAAUUCAGGAAACUGGGGCUAAUACAGGAUAGGAGCUCCUGCUGCAUGGUGGGGGUUGGAAAGUUUCGGCGGUUGGGGAUGGACUCGCGGCUUAUCAGCUUGUUGGUGGGGUAGUGGCUUACCAAGGCUGUGACGGGUAGCCGGCCUGAGAGGGGGACCGGCCACAUUGGGACUGAGAUACGGCCCAGACUCCUACGGGAGGCAGCAGUGGGGAAUAUUGCACAAUGGGCGGAAGCCUGAUGCAGCAACGCCGCGUGCGGGAUGACGGCCUUCGGGUUGUAAACCGCUUUCGCCUGUGACGAAGCGUGAGUGACGGUAAUGGGUAAAGAAGCACCGGCUAACUACGUG